rnacentral:rRNA from 1 species
CUCGUAGGUGGCCAACUAAGUCGGACGUGAAAUCCCUCGGCUUAACCGGGGAACUGCGUCCGAUACUGGUUGGCUUGAGUUUGGGAGAGGGAUGCGGAAUUCCAGGUGUAGCGGUGAAAUGCGUAGAUAUCUGGAGGAACACCGGUGGCGAAGGCGGCAUCCUGGACCAAUACUGACGCUGAGGAGCGAAAGCAGGGGAGACGAAACG